ACUGUAAAUCAGUUUUACCUCCCCACUGGUCUUUUACAAUCGAUCGUCUACCCAUACAGACAUUUUUUACUACCCAAGUUAUACGUAAUUUUCGCAUACAGACAGAUAAAUUUUGGUGCCGAACUGUAAAUUCAGCAUUUGGGUAUGCGUUUUGGCUAAACGUACCCAAAGUGGUAAAAUUAUCUAUCUGCAUCACCGAUAAAAUAAUGUGUGCGACGCGCAUACCGACUGAAAUUCGGCAAAACUUAGGCGUUCGCGAACGAUCUUUUCGGUAGAUAAAUUAAAUGGAUGUGAUUUUCGUUACGAAAUUUACAGCAGUUGUAUUCUGGCAACAUAAUAAUUCAGAUUCAAGUUUAGUUUCAAGUGAGAAUGUGAAAAAUUUUCUGUGACCACCCAAGUUAUGCUGAGUUUUGCGUAGUCUGAGAUGGCGCUUCCAUCGCAGACGGGAGAUACGCAAGAAGCGUUUAGACACGCUUCCGCGUUGUGUGUGCGGUUAAGUAGGUGGAGUGGAUCAAGUGGAAUUUUUUGCAUUUUUCAUCAGAGAAUAAAGGUUCGUGGGCAAGAAUACGGAUCCAUCUGGCGAAAUGAGUUUUGCGAUUGUCUCAUCGGACCGCACCCUCUGAUUGAGUGAAAUCAUUUUACUAUGAUUUAUUGAAGGACCUUAGUUGCCAUGCUAUGCCGACAAUGAUUCGUAAUCUUGCACGUUGCACUUCCUUUGAACCGUUCCAGCUUACUGCGCUGACCAUUGACUCUUAUCUUUCAAACCACGCCUUC